rnacentral:rRNA from 1 species
UACGUAGGGCGCAGGCGUUAUCCGGAAUUAUUGGACGUAAAGAGCUCGUAGGCGGUUUGUCGCGUCUGCCGCGAAAGUCCGGGGCUCAACUCCGGAUCUGCGGUGGGUACGGGCAGACUAGAGUGAUGUAGGGGAGACUGGAAUUCCUGGUGUAGCGGUGAAAUGCGCAGAUAUCAGGAGGAACACCGAUGGCGAAGGCAGGUCUCUGGGCAUUAACUGACGCUGAGGAGCGAAAGCAUGGGGAGCGAACAGG